rnacentral:rRNA from 1 species
AACGAACGCUGGCGGCAUGCCUAACACAUGCAAGUCGAACGAGACCUUCGGGUCUAGUGGCGCACGGGUGCGUAACGCGUGGGAACCUGCCCUUAGGUUCGGAAUAACUCCCCGAAAGGGGUGCUAAUACCGGAUAAUGUCUUCGGACCAAAGAUUUAUCGCCUUUGGAUGGGCCCGCGUUGGAUUAGCUAGUUGGUAGGGUAAAAGCCUACCAAGGCGACGAUCCAUAGCUGGUCUGAGAGGAUGAUCAGCCACACUGGGACUGAGACACGGCCCAGACUACUACGGGAGGAAGCAGUGGGGAAUAUUGGAAAAUGGGCGAAAGCCUGAUCAAGCAAUGACGGGUGAGUGAUGAAGGCCUGAGGGUUGUAAAGCUCUUUUACACGGGAUGAUAAUGACAGUACCGGGAGAAUAAGCACCGGCUAACUCCGUG